GGAUGUGAGGGUGAUCUGGCUGCUACAUCUGUCACCCCAUUGAUCGCCAGGGUUGAUUUGGCUGAUCUGCUAGGCUAGGCAGGUGUCCUCUUCCUCCCUCCUUGCUCCAUGUGUGUCCCUCCUGAAGCUGCGCACUCUUUCGAAGAGGAUGACCUUCUCUAAAUAGUGGAGGCCCAGUCUUCAGUCAAGGGUAUACGAGCAGCUGCACUCCCCUGCUAGAACCUCCAAACAAACUCUCAAGAAGUCUGUAAUCUGAUCAAGUACUUUAAGACUUAGUAAAUCAACUUUGUCACUAACCUUCUGUUUAAGCUG
rnacentral:snRNA from 1 species